GGUUAAGUUAAUAAGGGCGCACGGUGGAUGCCUUGGCACUAGAAGCCGAAGAAGGACGUGACAAACGACGAAAUGCUUUGGGGAGCUGUAAGUAAGCGACGAUCCAGAGAUGUCCGAAUGGGGGAACCCACUAGCUAAUGGCUAGUACUCCUAUCUGUUAAGGAUAGGUAGAGGAAGACGCAGUGAACUGAAACAUCUAAGUAGCUGCAGGAAGAGAAAGCAAAAGCGAUUGCCUGAGUAGCGGCGAGCGAAACGGCAGGAGGGCAAACCGAAGAGUUUACUCUUCGGGGUUGUAGGACUGCAAUGUGGACUUAAAGAAUAUAGAAGAAUGACAUGGGAAGGUCAGCCAAAGAGAGUAAGAGCCUCGUAUUCGAAAUAGUCUUUAUACCUAGCAGUAUCCUGAGUACGGCGGGACACGAGAAAUCCCGUCGGAAUCUGGGAGGACCAUCUCCUAACCCUAAAUACUCUCUAGUGACCGAUAGUGAACCAGUACCGUGAGGGAAAGGUGAAAAGCACCCCGGGAGGGGAGUGAAAUAGAACCUGAAACCGUGUGCCUACAACAAGUUCGAGCCCGUUAAUGGGUGAGAGCGUGCCUUUUGUAGAAUGAACCGGCGAGUUACGAUAUGAUGCGAGGUUAAGUUGAAGAGACGGAGCCGUAGGGAAACCGAGUCUGAAUAGGGCGCAAUAGUAUUAUGUCGUAGACCCGAAACCAUGUGACCUACCCAUGAGCAGGUUGAAGGUGAGGUAAAACUCACUGGAGGACCGAACCAGGGCACGUUGAAAAGUGCUUGGAUGACUUGUGGGUAGCGGAGAAAUUCCAAACGAACUUGGAGAUAGCUGGUUCUCUCCGAAAUAGCUUUAGGGCUAGCGUCGACAUUAAGAUUCUUGGAGGUAGAGCACUGUUUGGGUGAGGGGUCCAUCCCGGAUUACCAAUCUCAGAUAAACUCCGAAUGCCAAAGAAUUAUGGUCGGCAGUCAGACUGCGAGUGCUAAGAUCCGUAGUCGAAAGGGAAACAGCCCAGACCACCAGCUAAGGUCCCAAAAUAAUUGUUAAGUGGAAAAGGAUGUGGGGUUGCACAGACAACUAGGAUGUUAGCUUAGAAGCAGCUAUUCAUUCAAAGAGUGCGUAAUAGCUCACUAGUCGAGUGACCCUGCGCCGAAAAUGUACCGGGGCUAAAACAAUUUACCGAAGCUGUGGAUACCUUUAUAGGUAUGGUAGGAGAGCGUUCUAUGUGUGGAGAAGGUGUACCGUGAGGAGCGCUGGAACGCAUAGAAGUGAGAAUGCCGGUAUGAGUAGCGAAAGACAGGUGAGAAUCCUGUCCACCGUAAGACUAAGGUUUCCAGGGGAAGGCUCGUCCGCCCUGGGUUAGUCGGGACCUAAGGAGAGACCGAAAGGUGUAUCCGAUGGACAACAGGUUGAUAUUCCUGUACUAGAGUAUGUAGUGAAGGAGGGACGCAGUAGGCUAACUAAAGCGUGCGACUGGAAGUGCACGUCUAAGCAGUGAGGUGUGAAUUGAGUUAAAUGCUUAAUUCUGUAACAUUGAGCUGUGAUGGGGAGCGAAGUUUAGUAGCGAAGUUAGUGACGUCACACUGCCAAGAAAAGCUUCUAGCGUUAAUCAUACUCUACCCGUACCGCAAACCGACACAGGUAGUCGAGGCGAGUAGCCUCAGGUGAGCGAGAGAACUCUCGUUAAGGAACUCGGCAAAAUGACCCCGUAACUUCGGGAGAAGGGGUGCUGGCUUUGAGUCAGCCGCAGUGAAUAGGCCCAAGCAACUGUUUAUCAAAAACACAGCUCUCUGCUAAAUCGUAAGAUGAUGUAUAGGGGGUGACGCCUGCCCGGUGCUGGAAGGUUAAGAGGAGUGCUUAGCGUAAGCGAAGGUAUGAAUUGAAGCCCCAGUAAACGGCGGCCGUAACUAUAACGGUCCUAAGGUAGCGAAAUUCCUUGUCGGGUAAGUUCCGACCCGC
rnacentral:rRNA from 1 species